UGCUGAUGGAGGAGUCUCCUGUGGGUGCUUCCCUAGCUUCCCCCCUGCCUUCUGGCAGGUUCCUCUUCCUAAUAAGGCUGUGGCAAAAACUGGGAGUUGGAGUCAGAACCGAUGCGAUGUCCUGUCCUCACUGCCAGCCCCUCCUGAGCCUCCUGCACUGGAUCUCCUUCCCCACAGCUUCUCAGUGUUGGAGGGCCCUGGAACCCUGUCCUGAGACCUCUUCUCUGGUCCAGCUGACCUCAUUUCCCAGAUUGUUUGAUUACGGGAUCAAGCUGCAAUUUCCUCUGACCUUCUGAGAACUGUGUACCCAUUUAGAACCCACAUCAGAGCUUUUCCAGAAUGGUUUUCCUUGGGCAUUUUAAUCCCCCUCUGAAAGACACCCCGACUCACUGGCUGCAGAGGCUCCAGUACUUCUGCUUCAAUAGCCGGUUCUUCCUGGUGGAGAUGGAGGACUCUGUGUUCAGUGGAAUAACACCAUGAUGGUGACCAGAAGUGAACCCAGCCUCAUUCUCUUCACGGCUCCUUCCCUGACAUGCUGGCUUCAGCUGCCUCAUUUCUGUUCUCAGCAGUUCACAGGGUAGU